rnacentral:lncRNA from 1 species
UUAAAGUCUGGAUCUGAAUGGGUCUAAUGACGUACUGAACCUAAUUGGGUAAAUUUCUUGUUUCUGACCAGUAAGAUAAAUGAGAACUGGGAAGAAGCACAAGAAAAUGCAGAAUCACCAGCAGCAAAUGAAUUGGCAAGAGACGAAAACGUGUCACAGGAUGAAGGAGGCCAAUAUGACUUUCAUCUACUCGAAAACGUACAUCCAUAAGAUCUAGCAAAAAACAAAAACCAAUUUUGAACCAGACCAAUAGCCAAGAGUUGGACGCAAUGCCGCCAAUGAUGGCAACAUAUUGCCAAAAAAUAAUAAAUGACGCCUUAUUCAAUGCAAAGUGCGGGCAACUAACAGCACACUCAAGAAUUGUAACUGACUCGCAAACAAGUAGUACCUACUUCAGUUCAAUACCUACAGCCAUAUCCACAACAGUUUAAUACAAUGACAACAGAUUAUGACAAUCAACUUCUCACAACACGUGGUUAUUACAAUAGUUUUGUACCCUAAGUUUUUUUUGUAAAUUAUGUAGGGGAGACCGGGUCACAGUGGUCACUCUUAAAUAACUUUUGUUCCUUUGGCUUGUAUGUUAUGUCACCUAGGAUGUAGCGUGCAAACUACCAUUCCAAUAAUCUUUCUUCCUUUGAUGUCCGUCCUAUUUACGAUUUUUGUGUUAGUGUGAGUUUUUGUUUUGAAGAGUGCACGUGAAAAGUUAAGGUACGUUUUAUUUUUUGCAUCAUUUCUUGUCAUAUUAUUUUUUCGUAAAGAAACCUAGUUAAUUUUAAGACGGGUACAUUAAAGUAUAUCGGGUGGAGAAGCGAAAAAUCUUAGGUUUGACUAGCAAUAUUUUUUGGUAGAACAUGUAUUUUAGGUUAGUUUGGGACACAGUGGCCAGGUUGAAAAUGGGGCACAGUGGUCACUACUAAUUUAUGAUAAUUCGAGUGACCACUGUACCCCCAUUAAUAUUUUAAUUUUUGUAGAAUUCUCCGACAUCUUAAUAUCAAUAAUAAAGUAAUUUAUUAUCAAUAUAAUUAAGCAAACAAUUUUGCAUUUGUUGUAUUUUGCUUUCUUUCUAGCUAAUAUGGUAUUAACACUGCACACGGUAUUAUUAUACACACACAACACUUCUAUUUCAACAAUCUCUAUUUACUCUAAUUUAUUAUAUUAGUGGUUUUUUGGAAAACAAGCUAAGAAAUAAAUAAUAUAUAGUGUACCUAAUUGUUUCAGGUUACAAAACCCAUAUAAAAUGCCACGUAAUAGAAAACGUAAGACAAAUAUUGGCUUAGUUGACGAAAAUGAUAUGAAAGCAACUGUUACUGCAGUUUUAAAUGGAGGUCUAUCUACAAAAGCGGCUUCACUGCGAUUUGCCAUACCUCGUACCACGUUGCGACGAUAUAUUUUACAAUGCCGUGACGAAAAUAUUAACUGGGAAGAGCCGAUAUUUCCAAAAAUGCGCCCUAAUUACGAAUGCCGAAAAAUUUUUACACAUGAAGAAGAGGCAGUUUUAUGCUAAUAUUUAAUUCAGUGCGGAAAACUUCAACAUGGCUUACAACCAAAAACCGCUAGAAAGCUAGCUUAUGAUCUUGCAGUUGCAAAUAAUAAACAAAUUCCGCAAAGUUAGCAUACAAAUGAAUCUGCCGGCCCAGACUGGUUUAGUGCUUUUAUGUAACGGAAUCCCAUUAUUUCAUUACGAACCCCUGAAGCGACAUCUAUGUCAAGAUCUGUAGCAUUCAAUAAAGUCAUAGUUCAUAAAUGGUACGACACUUUGUUAAAACUGUAUGAAAAGUAUCCUACUUUUGAUGCCAGUAAAAUUUAUAAUGUCGACGAAACUGCAUUGACGACUGUGCAAGGAUCAACUAAAGUUAUUGCAGAGAAGGGUCAAGUGACUUCUGCGGAACGGGGCAUUCUAGUUACUAUGUGUGGAGCAAUUAAUGCUGUUGGAAAUUGUGUUCCACCACUAUUAGUGUUUCCAAGAGUAAAGUCUGGCUAAUAAUCCCGGAAAGCCUAUCACUAUAUACGAAAUAGCCGAACUUUUUGGCGUUGCUUAUCAUCUUGCCUUUUCACACAAAAAUUGCAUAUCUCGUUUUGCUAGUACAGGAAUAUUUCCCCUUAACAAGUUUCUAUAUGGAGAUGCUGAGUAUGUAGCAGCAGAAGUCACAGAUAAGCCAGAAAAACCAAAGGACCAAACUUCUACAUAUAGAACCUGAGAAGACAGUGAGACCAAACACCCCGUUAAAUCAGGUGAUCCCGACCACCAGCUCUUGUAAUUCAAUUCCUUUGAAAAAAGUGAAUCAAAAUGAGUCUAGAUUACCUUUAAUAUCUCCUGAAAAUUUACGACCAUAUCCAGAACAGAAUAGAACAGGAAUAUAUGGAAAAAUGUCGAAAGGAGAGUUUGAAACAAAAACAGAAUAAGCAAGAUAACACUGUAAAAGGUAAGAAAAAUAUAAUGAAACUAAUGCCAUCCAGCAGCGAAAGUGAGGGUGAAAUAUCAGACUUAGCAGAGAGCCAUACUUUUGACGAAGAGAUUUUUGAAUCAGAUGAAGACAUUGUUGAACUGGAUGAAAAUUUGGACAAUAUUCGUGUUAAGUGCUAUGUAUUGGUUCGGUUUGCAACUAAAAAGACAAUAAGGUUCUAUGUGGGUCAUGUCGAAGGUAUUGAACGCGACGAAUAUAAAGUUAAUUUCUUAAGGAAGAAAGGCAAUAAGUUUGUUUUUCCUCAAGUGAAAGAUGAGGCAUCAGUCCCAGUUUUUGAUAUUGUUUCGAUUUUACCAGCCCCUUUAGAUUAUGGUGGUACUUCCAGAUUACGUACAACAACGAAAGUUCGGUGUCGACUUUAGUGGAUACAAUAUAACGUAAUCUUUCCUAAAUAUAAGUUUAAACCUGUAUUUUUUUGUUAGUGACCAGUGUGCCCCAAUGUCAUGGCCACUCUACCCCUGGUGCGGGGUACAGUGGCCAAAAAUCAAGGCGGAUUAAAAUGUUUAUUUUUUUUUUAAGAAUAAGUGUUUUUUUUUUAAUAUAUUUUGCGUUAUUAGUAUAGACUAUGUUCUUUAUUUCCCUUAAAGAAAAAAUCAAAUACAUUAAAUGGGUUGAAAAAUACGCCAACAAUAAGUAAAAGGUGGCCACUGUGACCCGGUCUCCCCUACUUAUUAUGUAAAAUAAAAAUUAUAACAACGUA